rnacentral:lncRNA from 1 species
AGCUAACGUAGCUAAUUAUGUCAUUUUGGAGCUAAAUUAGCUAAUUAUGCCAUUUUGGAGGAUAAUUAGGUAAGUAAGUCUUUGUUGGUAAAAUAAACUAAAGAGAAGAAGAAAGAGGAGAAGAAAGAGGAGAAGGAGAAGAAGAAGAAGAAGAAGAAGAAGAAGAACGAGGAGGAGGAGGAGGAGGAGGAGAAGAAGAA